rnacentral:rRNA from 1 species
GGCGAACGCUGGCGGCGUGCUUAACACAUGCAAGUCGAACGGAAAGGCCCUGCUUGCCGGGUACUCGAGUGGCGAACGGGUGAGUAACACGUGGGUGAUCUGCCCUGCACUUCGGGAUAAGCUUGGGAAACUGGGUCUAAUACCGGAUAGGACCGCACUUUAGUGUGUGUGGUGGAAAGUUUUUUCGGUGUAGGAUGAGCUCGCGGCCUAUCAGCUUGUUGGUGGGGUAAUGGCCUACCAAGGCGGCGACGGGUAGCCGGCCUGAGAGGGUGUACGGCCACAUUGGGACUGAGAUACGGCCCAGACUCCUACGGGAGGCAGCAGUGGGGAAUAUUGCACAAUGGGCGCAAGCCUGAUGCAGCGACGCCGCGUGGGGGAUGAAGGCCUUCGGGUUGUAAACUCCUUUCGCUAGGGACGAAGCGUUGUUGUGACGGUACCUAGAUAAGAAGCACCGGCUAACUACGUG